rnacentral:misc_RNA from 1 species
AAGUCGUAACAAGGUCUCCGUAGGUGAACCUGCGGAGGGAUCAUUCACAUGAUUACCUUUUUCAACAAACUGUGAACUUUAUAUUUUACUAUUCGUGAUAGUUGAAUGAUUACUCUCGGGUAUCAUUCAUCUUACACUGUCAUUCGAUGAACAUUAGAUAGCUGGCUUGUAAUCUCGAUUACUUUCUCAGCUGAUUGUUUGUAUUGACUCAACAUCUUACAACAAUCACCAUAAAACACAUAGAAACAACUCUAUGCCCUGGAUAUCUUGGUUCUC